rnacentral:rRNA from 1 species
GCCGUCAGCAGCAGAUCGUCGCCAACAUCGUCAUCAACACUGUCUUUGCUAGAUUAUUGCAUGCAAUUUCCUGAGUUAACUAUGGCUGGAUUCGCUGAUGCACUGAGGCCGGAUAAGUUUACCGGUGUGCACUUUAAGAGGUGGCAGGUGAAGACCACGCUCUGGCUUACUGCUCUGAAAGUUUUCCACGCUAGUGUUGGUGCUCCAGAGGGAAUGACCGACGAAGAUCGGAGAAAAUUCCAGGAAGCCAAUACUAUGUUUGUGGGAUGCAUUCUGAGUGUUCUUGCUGACCGUCUGUGUGAUGUGUACAUGCACAUAAACGACGGAAAAAUUCUGUGGGAUGCACUGAAUGCAAAAUUCGGUGCAACAGAUGCAGGCAGUGAACUGUACAUCAUGGAGAGUUUUCAUGACUACAAGAUGGUGAAUAACCGUUCUGUGGUUGAACAAGCUCAUGAGAUACAGUGCAUUGUGAAGGAACUUGAACUCCUUAAAUGUGUAUACCCGACAAAUUCGUGGCUGGGUGCAUGA